UACAGAGGUCUCAAGCGUUGUUCGGAUUCAUUGGGCGUAAAGGGUGCGUAGGCGGCGCGGUAAGUCGGGUGUGAAAUCUUGGAGCUUAACUCCGAAACUGCAUUCGAUACUGCCGUGCUUGAGGACUGGAAAGGAGACUGGAAUUUACGGUGUAGCGGUGAAAUGCGUAGAUAUCGUAAGGAAGACCAGUGGCGAAGGCGGGUCUCUGGGACCGAA
rnacentral:rRNA from 1 species